AGAGGUAGCUUAGUAGGAGAGCACUUACCUAGCAUGCAUGAGACCCUGGGUUCAAUCCCUAGCAUCU
rnacentral:tRNA from 1 species